GAUGAACGCUGGCGGCGUGCCUAAUACAUGCAAGUCGAGCGAACAGAUGAGGAGCUUGCUCCUCUGACGUUAGCGGCGGACGGGUGAGUAACACGUGUAUAACCUACCUAUAAGACUGGGAUAACUUCGGGAAACCGGAGCUAAUACCGGAUAAUAUAUUGAACCGCAUGGUUCAAUAGUGAAAGACGGCUUUGCUGUCACUUAUAGAUGGAUCCGCGCCGCAUUAGCUAGUUGGGAAGGUAACGGCUUACCAAGGCAACGAUGCGUAGCCGACCUGAGAGGGUGAUAGGCCACACUGGAACUGAGACACGGUCCAGACUCCUACGGGAGGCAGCAGUCGGGAAUCUUCCGCAAUGGGCGAAAGCCUGACGGAGCAACGCCGCGUGAGUGAUGAAGGUCUUCGGAUCGUAAAACUCUGCUAUUAGGGAAGAACAAAUGUGUAAGUAACUAUGCACGUCUUGACGGUACCUAAUCAGAAAGCCACGGCUAACUACGUG
rnacentral:rRNA from 1 species